UCUUUCUUUUUAUUGCGCUCAGCCCUCGGUGAUGUGUUGUUUCAGCUUCUGCUUCUCGCGUGCUCUCGUACGCGCAACGGAUAGAUCUCGGAGCGCUGCGCUCGAGGAAGGUGUCUGCAAACUGGGCUCUUUUUUUUUUCUUUUCUUCUUUUUUAGCUUCAGCUGAUCUGCAACACAGACGAAUACACACAGCUCGAGCUCUUCACGAUGCACAUCUGUGAAAAGGCGGCAAAGACCUGCAAUCCAUGGCUCCUGUCCUGCUGUUCCAUUUUAGGAGAUUUCAUGACACCACUCUCAGGGCCACAAUGUCCCAGUGAACUCAGCAGCGGUGUUUCUGGGCUGGGCCGGUUGUUCUGAUAAUAGAAGGUGGUUCUCCAGGAAGCCAAGAGGGAGUCCACCAGUCUGGGGUGUAGGACCAGUAAGUGGGCCAGCUAUGGGAUCAGCCCAGGGGUGUGGAGCAGCAGUCGAUGAGGCGGUGGGAAGUGCUGGAGGGAUGUGGACGGGUGAAAAAGGAAGGCAGGCGAGGAAUGGGAGGGAAGGACACGGAAGUGAGAGCAGGAAACGCUGGUAGGAGCAGUGGGAGUGGGGAGUGGAAUGUUUCACAAGAGCUUUAUCUGCACUGUAGCGUCAAGAUGUGGGCAUCCGCUGUUGGUGUCACUGUUCAGACAGCCACCCGCCAAGCGAGGGAGCUCAUGUGUGACAUAGCCAUCCUCUGACACGCACACAUGCGCACAUUCUCCACAGUGUGACCCCUCACCGCCUUGGCAGAGCUCACUGCUCUUAUAUCCUGGGAGUGGGCCAGCCUGCAGCACCGUCCCAGCCUUCGUAUAGUCCACGCUGUGCGGUUGUGGAAUAGAGAGAGAAAGUCUUGCAGUGUAAGUGAGGGAGUCAGUGCUAUGCAUUAGUGGGUUCUGUUAAAGGGACCACAAUACUGGCGGCCAUACAUUCAUGCAUAUGUAAGUAAUGCAUUUCUGCACUAAUCAGAUCAUGCUGUCACGGGCACGUUAUGCAUUUUACUACAAGAGCAUGAAAACUGCAGUCAGUGCAACUGUUAUUACUGCAUUUAAUCAAAGCAGAAAUACUCAGCCUUCAUUCAUCAGAUUGUUUGUUUUCAUAUGAAUUGACCUAUUAACCACAAUAAUUUAUACAAGAAUAGGGACAAGCCUAUAAGACAGGUAAAUAUUAUUUAAUUCUGUGCAAUAGGCACAACUAGAUUUUAGCUCCAUGCACUUCCAAAUGUUGUAUUUGAAGGAGUGUGUAUAAUAUUAAACGGAGGUGGAACCAUCUCUGGUGGGCCUGUUAUGGACUGCGGAGCUUAAAAUGAGCAUCUUUGACUUAAUAAAACGUAACAUUGCUGUUUUCUUUUUUGAGUUGUCUUAACUGUCAAAAAUGAGCACUGAAAUAUUAAUGGAGUACAUUUAUGUGAGCAGUGCAUGUAAAUAAACAUAAUUUAAAUAG
ensembl:lncRNA